rnacentral:rRNA from 1 species
AAACCAACAGGGAUUGCCCUAGUAACGGCGAGUGAAGCGGCAACAGCUCAAAUUUGAAAUCUGGCGCAAGCCCGAGUUGUAAUUUGUAGAGGAUGCUUCUAGGCAGCGGCCGGUCUAAGUCUCUUGGAACAGGGCGUCAUAGAGGGUGAGAAUCCCGUAUGUGACCGGCUGGCACCUUAUACGUAGCUCCUUCGACGAGUCGAGUUGUUUGGGAAUGCAGCUCUAAAUGGGAGGUAAAUUUCUUCUAAAGCUAAAUACCGGCCAGAGACCGAUAGCGCACAAGUAGAGUGAUCGAAAGAUGAAAAGCACUUUGGAAAGAGAGUUAAAAAGCACGUGAAAUUGUUGAAAGGGAAGCGCUUGCAACCAGACUUGUUGGCGGUGUUCCGCCGGUCUUCUGACCGGUCUACUCGCCGCCCGCAGGCCAGCGUCGUCUGGGGCCGCCGGAGAAAGGCGUUGGGAAUGUAGCUCCCUCGGGAGUGUUAUAGCCCAUCGCACAAUACGGCGCGCGCCGGGCGAGGUCCGCGCUUCGGCAAGGACGCUGGCGUAAUGGUCGUAAGCGGC